UACGAUUUUACCCAUUAUGAAGGCAAAGUAGCUUUGAGGAUAAACAGCCUUGACUCGGAACCAUAGAUAUAUCAGAGCCGGAAAUGGACCACGUCGGAGUUUGACUUUCAGUGGCACUUAUACCGCAAUCAGCAGCUAGCCUAAUAAUCACCUGUCUCUUAAAGUGUUUUUCGUGUGUUUAUUUACACGCCAAAAUGCCUGCUGAAAGUUUACGAUGGGAUACGUUGGAGGCCUUGAAAAACUCACAAAAGGGAAGACUGAAAUACAACCCAGACUGGCUCGAAAAGGGGGAGGAUAUUUUGUCAGGUUGUAAUGAAGCUCCUAGCUUGUCCCCACUCUCUGGGCUCAUCUUGAAGAGGCUUAACAUGAGCCCUCGAGCGCUUCAGAAGACCUGCUCUUUGGGCUCUGCUUCUCGUGACCCAGGCCUGUCUGAGGAAGCCCCAGUCUCCUCAACCAGCCCCUUCCCUUCAGCCAAUACUCAGCCCACUCCCCUCUCUUCUCCACUACUGGUCCCCAGGUUGAAGAAAGACACAGAGCAGCAGAUUGUUGGUGAUGAGGACAGUGCCCCAGAUGCCAGCGACGAUCUCAGUCCAGCCACCAACCCCAUUCCUCCCCCCACCAUCUCCCUUCUGUCUCCCAGGGCAACUCAAAUGGAAGGAUGUAUACGCAUUUGUGAGGAGAAACAUCGUGCCAAAGCUAAGAUGGAGCUGAGUCUGAGGCAGGAGCUGCAGGAGAAGCUGGUGGCCUCAGUUGCGAGCCGUGAGUCGGAGCAGCUCAAACGCUUUGAGGAGUUGAUGGAGCUGAAGCAGAGACAGGAGUACCAGAGUAUGAGGGACAUGAUGGACAGAGAAACACAAGAAAGUAUUGGGCGCCAAGAAAAGUUGAAAGAAGAGCACAAAAACAGAAUAAAGAUCCUGAACCUGCGCCUGCGGGAAGCGGAGCAACAGCGUUUGCGGGAGGUGGAAUUUGAGAGGCAGAGACAGGUGGAGGGUAGGGAGAGACUGCGUGCUCUCAACGCCAUCCAGGAAGAGAUACUUCAACUCAAUCAGCUGCUGGAGCCAGCCGCACCCACCCAGUCGGGCCCCUCCCCUGAUCUCACAUCCUAUAGCACCCGUGCCAACCAGCUAUGCUCCCAGGUGUCAGAGGUGGUGCGCAUGACAGCGGAGGGGGAGUUCCCCAGUGUGGAGGACAUGACGGUGGCGGAGCGGGCACUGCAUGAGAUGAGGUCACUGAUCCGGGUGAUGCAGGAGGCGGCUGCCCAGGCCCAGGAGAAGAGGAAGAAGGAGCAGGAGGAGGAAGAGGAGCGCAGGAAGAUGGCAAUGCUGCAGGCCCAGCAGGAAGAGCAGAAGAAGAGUGCAGCUCUGUCAGCCAAAGAGAAGGCACGGAAAAAGGGCCUGCAGACUAAAGCUGAGCAGAGCACUCUGAAGUGGUACCAAGAGCUGCAGGACUCCGCUAACCAGUGUGCACAGUCUUUUGAAGGCUUGAACAACACUAAGGAUAUCCAGACAAAGAAACUAAGAAUGGAGCUCCAGAAGGCAGCCACAAUCCCUGUCAGCCAGAUCUCCAGUAUCUCAGGUUCCAAGCUCAGGGAAAUAUUUGACAAGAUUGACAAGCUGUUGUCUGGGAGAUCAGUGGUAUCCGGAGGGAAGUCUGUCUCCACCUCCCAGCAUCCCAACGGCCUGGACUUUGUCAGCUACAAACUGGCAGAGAAGUUUGUGAAACAAGGAGAAGAGGAGGUGGCGUCCCACCACGAGGCAGCCUUCCCCAUCGCUGUGGUGGCCUCCGGGGUGUGGGAGCUUCAUCCCAAAGUCGGAGACCUCAUCCUCGCCCACCUUCAUAAGAAAUGCCCCUACGCCGUGCCCCACUACCCACCUAUGAAGGAUGGCACGUCUGUAGAGGAAUAUCAGAAAAUCUUAGGCUACCGUGUGGAAGAUGGAGGAGUGGAGGCUCAGGACAGCUUUUUGAAGAGGAUGUCAGGAAUGAUCCGCCUCUAUGCUGCUAUCAUUCAGCUCAGAUGGCCUUAUGGCUCCAAGCAGGGGCCUGACCCACAUGGGCUGAACAACGGCUGGCGCUGGCUGGCUCAGAUGCUGAACAUGGAGCCCCUGGCAGACGUCACGGCAACACUCCUUUUUGACUUCCUAGAGGUCUGUGGCAACGCCCUGAUGAAGCAGUAUCAGGUUCAGUUUUGGAAGCUCAUUCUGCUCAUCCAAGAGGAAUACUUGCCACGGAUUGAAGCCGUCACCAGCCAAGGCCAGGCGGGCUCAGUCACGAGGCUCAAGCAGUUCCUGGAGAGUUCAUUAAGAAGCAGGCAGAUCCCUCCCCCUAAAGGCCAGCUGAGCUCCCACUUCUGGAGAUCCUGAGUGUGGGACGGAAGGAUGGGAAAGAAGGUUUUGAACAUGAUGCAUCAGUUGGAUUCAAGGCUGCAUCACCUCAGUCUACAACUCAUAGAAUGCACUAGGCCUCAAGACCCUCCAUCACUCUCAGGAUCCCAUACACUGCCUGCAGAGAGGAGAGUCAAGGACAAUCAGCAAAACACACUUUGGCUAUUGUAAACAAAUAGUCUCAUCAGGAAAUCUGCAUCUGAGACAAAGUAGACAAUACAAGUUCUAGAAGUCUAAGAUAAUACUUCACAUGACAGAUGUGAUGCUCUUACCAGGUCAGCCAGAUUGGGCUGGUCUCCACCCAUGAACAACUUCCUGCCAAUGGCCUCCACCCACUCAUUGACUGCCUUGUACAGAUCCUGUCUCACAUCAUCCUGCAAGUUGUGUCUGCAGGAUAGAGGCAUUCAAUUUAAACAGAGCUCAUCACUAAGCAUUAUUGGCUAGUUAUAUAUCAGACAAUCACACAAAAAAUGGUUUUGUCACCCACCUACUUUUCAGUCGUUUUGAGAUGACAAACAUGGCAGCUGCUCCAACAUACUUUGCAAAGAAGCCCUCAUAAGUGCCAAACUUGCCCUCACGGACAAUAUAGUCAAAGGAGGCCAGGGCCUCUCCAGUGGUCCGGUACACGUUGGGCGAGAGCAGGUGAACCAGCCAAUCAUCUGCCCACGUACGCCAUUUGAUCUCCUCUCUGAAGAAGAUGGACAGUGAAGAGAAAGGGACAUUUAACCCCAGAUGAUGCUUGACAAUCUAUCAAGAGUAGUGAUGCACAGUAUGUCUUUAGAGAGGUUUGGACAGAUACAUUAAUUUUCAUUAGUAACCCAUGCACUGAGAAUUGUCAUUAUGGGCAGCAGUAAUUUGUCAUCCAAUGUGUUCACCUACUUUCUGGAGUCUUUCUCUGGGUACAUCGUCUGACCUUCAGCUUCAUUCACCAUUACACAGUACUUGUUGUUGAA